rnacentral:tRNA from 3 species
CGGGAAAUAGCUCAGCUUGGUAGAGCACCUGGUUUGGGACCAGGGGUCGCAGGUUCGAAUCCUGUUUUCCCGA